rnacentral:rRNA from 1 species
GGGGGGGGGGGGGGGGGGGGCGAGCGGGUGCGGGGCGGGCGGGAGCGCAGUAGGAGCGUGCGCUUACGGGUGGGGAGUGGCGGACGGGUGAGGAAUACAUCGGGAUCUACUUUUUCGUGGGGGAUAACGUAGGGAAACUUACGCUACUACCGCAUACGACCUACGGGUGAAAGCAGGGGCUCUUCGGACCUUGCGCGAUUGAAUGAGCCGAUGUCGGAUUAGCUAGUUGGCGGGGUAAAGGCCCACCAAGGCGACGAUCCGUAGCUGGUCUGAGAGGAUGAUCAGCCACACUGGAACUGAGACACGGUCCAGACUCCUACGGGAGGCAGCAGUGGGGAAUAUUGGACAAUGGGCGCAAGCCUGAUCCAGCAAUACCGCGUGGGUGAAGAAGGCCUUCGGGUUGUAAAGCCCUUUUGUUGGGAAAGAAAAGCAGCAGGUUAAUACCCCGCUGUUCUGACGGUACCCAAAGAAUAAGCACCGGCUAACUUCGUG